CAGGGUGAUAAUAAAUGUCACCUCUACUUGUCUGCCACUCAAGUCCUGAUAUGCACUGCAAAGCUAAAGUCAGCAAAACAAACUAGCUUCCUGGAAAGGAGAAUUUUAAGAACAAGAACAGAAAAAAAGCCUGGUAAAAGCUGUAACUGGCUCUGCCUGUCUGUGCUAUGACAGCCAACAAUAUCACCUGCUGAUGAUUUACAGAUUCCUGGGAGAUGUGUUGUUGAGUCUCAAAGAACUGGAACAAGAACAACUCGCUCAAAUUGCUUCCCGUGAAACAGCAUAAUGUAUCCACCCGCUUCAUACUCUCCUAAUUUAGGACAUGUGUAGUCUGUAAUGAUGAACUGGCCAACUGAUUAUGUUGCUGUAAAUCUCGUUCCCCACCUUACAAAACACCCCUGAUUGACCCCUUUUUCAUGAUAGCUCAGUGCAGCAUUUCCUGUCCACUUCUUGAGAGGGAGAAAAUCAGCACCAGCCACUUGCAAAAGCACUUCUCAAGAGUGAAAAAUGCCCACAAGAAGGAGGAGGAUAUGCUGAUGACAGCAUGUUCAGGCCUGUGUAUUCAACCAAUGUGUUAGACUAGGGAUCCAUG
rnacentral:lncRNA from 1 species